UGUUUAUCAAAAACAUGUCUUUUUGAUUAUAAUAUAAAGUCUGACCUGCCCACUGAUUUUUGAAGGGCCGCAGUAUUUUGACUGUGCAAAGGUAGCAUAAUCAUUUGCCUUUUAAUUGGAGGCUGGAAUGAAUGGUUGGACGAGGUGUAAGCUGUCUCAUUUUUAAAAUUAUAAAAAUUUAGCUUUUCAGUUAAAAGGCUGAAAUGCUGUUAGAGGACGAGAAGACCCUGUAGAACUUUAUAGGUUUGUUGAAAUAAAGAUUCUAGUAAGUUAAUAUUUUUUUUUCAAGAACUUAUUUUGUUGGGGUGACAUAAAGAUUAACGUAACUCUUUAAAUUUUAAUACAUUUAUUUAUGAAUUUUUGAUCCGUUAUUAAUGAUUAUUAGAAUAAGUUACCUCAGGGAUAACAGCGUAAUUUUGUUGGAGAGUUCAUAUCGAUAACGAAGAUUGCGACCUCGAUGUUGAAUUAAAGGUGUUUCUAAGUGCAGAAGCUGGGAGAAUGGGUCUGUUCGACCUUUAAUCUUUACAUGAUCUGAGUUCAAACCG
rnacentral:rRNA from 1 species